AUUGAACGCUGGCGGCAUGCUUUACACAUGCAAGUCGAACGGUAGAGGGGCAACCCUUGAGAGUGGCGAACGGGUGAGUAAUGCAUCGGAACGUGCCCAGUAGUGGGGGAUAGCCCGGCGAAAGCCGGAUUAAUACCGCAUGAGACCUGAGGGUGAAAGCGGGGGAUCGCAAGACCUCGCGCUAUUGGAGCGGCCGAUGUCAGAUUAGCUAGUUGGUGGGGUAAAGGCCUACCAAGGCGACGAUCUGUAGCUGGUCUGAGAGGACGACCAGCCAAACUGGGACUGAGACACGGCCCAGACUCCUACGGGAGUCAGCAGUGGGGAAUUUUGGACAAUGGGCGCAAGCCUGAUCCAGCCAUGCCGCGUGCGGGAAGAAGGCCUUCGGGUUGUAAACCGCUUUUGUCAGGGAAGAAAUCUUCUGGGCCAAUACCCUGGGAGGAUGACGGUACCUGAAGAAUAAGCACCGGCUAACUACGUGCCAGCCGCCGCGGUAACAC
rnacentral:rRNA from 1 species